rnacentral:rRNA from 1 species
CCAGACUCCUACGGGAGGCAGCAGUGGGGAAUAUUGCACAAUGGGCGCAAGCCUGAUGCAGCGACGCCGCGUGCGGGAUGACGGCCUUCGGGUUGUAAACCGCUUUUGACUGGGAGCAAGCCCUUCGGGGUGAGUGUACCUUUCGAAUAAGCACCGGCUAACUACGUGCCAGCAGCCGCGGUAAUACGUAGGGUGCAAGCGUUAUCCGGAAUUAUUGGGCGUAAAGGGCUCGUAGGCGGUUCGUCGCGUCCGGUGUGAAAGUCCAUCGCUUAACGGUGGAUCCGCGCCGGGUACGGGCGGGCUUGAGUGCGGUAGGGGAGACUGGAAUUCCCGGUGUAACGGUGGAAUGUGUAGAUAUCGGGAAGAACACCAAUGGCGAAGGCAGGUCUCUGGGCCGUCACUGACGCUGAGGAGCGAAAGCGUGGGGAGCGAACAGGAUUAGAUACCCUGGUAGUCCACGCCGUAAACGGUGGAUGCUGGAUGUGGGGACCAUUCCACGGUCUCCGUGUCGGAGCCAACGCGUUAAGCAUCCCGCCUGGGGAGUACGGCCGCAAGGCUAAAACUCAAAGAAAUUGACGGGGGCCCGCACAAGCGGCGGAGCAUGCGGAUUAAUUCGAUGCAACGCGAAGAACCUUACCUGGGCUUGACAUGUUCCCGACAGCCCCAGAGAUGGGGCCUCCCUUCGGGGCGGGUUCACAGGUGGUGCAUGGUCGUCGUCAGCUCGUGUCGUGAGAUGUUGGGUUAAGUCCCGCAACGAGCGCAACCCUCGCCCUGUGUUGCCAGCACGUCGUGGUGGGAACUCACGGGGGACCGCCGGGGUCAACUCGGAGGAAGGUGGGGAUGACGUCAGAUCAUCAUGCCCCUUACGUCCAGGGCUUCACGCAUGCUACAAUGGCCGGUACAACGGGAUGCGACACCGCGAGGUGGAGCGGAUCCCUUAAAACCGGUCUCAGUUCGGAUUGGAGUCUGCAACCCGACUCCAUGAAGGCGGAGUCGCUAGUAAUCGCGGAUCAGCAACGCCGCGGUGAAUGCGUUCCCGGGCCUUGUACACACCGCCCGUCAAGUCAUGAAAGUGGGUAGCACCCGAAGCCGGUGGCCCAACCUUUUGGGGGGAGCCGUCUAAGGUGAGACUCGUGAUUGGGACUAAGUCGUAACAAGGUAGCCGUACCGGAAGGUGCGGCUG